UACGAAGGGUGCAAGCGUUACUCGGAAUUACUGGGCGUAAAGGGUGCGUAGGUGGUUUGUUAAGUCCGUUGUGAAAUCCCUGGGCUCAACCUGGGAAUGGCAAUGGAUACUGGCAAGCUAGAGUGCGGUAGAGGGUAGUGGAAUUCCCGGUGUAGCAGUGAAAUGCGUAGAGAUCGGGAGGAACACCAGUGGCGAAGGCGGCUGCCUGGACCAGCACUGACACUGAGGCACGAAAGCGUGGGGAGCAAACAGG
rnacentral:rRNA from 1 species